AUAGGACUGUUUCGGUUUUGCCACGUUUAUUGUGUUCAUGUUUAGUUUCGCUGAUUAAAGAACAUGAACUCUAACCACGCUGCAUUUUGGUCUUCUCCUUCGACGGAGGAAAGCCGUUACACCUACCUGGUUAAAUAAAGGUGAAAUAAAAAAUUAAAAAAUUACAUGCAACACUUUGGGGUGGGCACCCACCUGCCGGAGUCAUUGAGAGAUGAUUUGAAAUAGUUUCUCAGUGUGGAAGUACUCCCAGUACUUUUAUUUGGUAGAAGGACAAAAUGACAAGAAUAUAACUGUAAAAAGUGUAAACUGUGCCUAGGAGAGAAACACCUUUCCACUGCAAGAAACACAACUUCCAACCUCUUGAAGCACCUGCAAAAGCAUCACGCCAUGACAAAACUCACAGCGAAAGACCCCCAAGCCUGACCACUGCUGCUGAAGAUAACUGUAGACAUACCUCCUCCAAACAACCCAGGCUUGAUUUGAAUCAUUCAGGAGGACAGGCUGUAACCCAGGGAGAGCUGAACAUGCUUGUAGCUGGUUAUGGCUCCAACACUGGUGAAGGUGAUGCUAAUUGACAUUGAGCCCCUACCUUCCCCCUCUAUGCUUGCUGAUAGAGGUGUUUGUUGUUGCCUCUCAGCAGGGGGAACCAUCAGGCCCAGGCCAAAUACAGCCUAUGGCACAACAAAGAUUGGAGUGACUGUGCUGUCCAGGAUUUAGGCUGAGACCUGGGCAGCUGAUGGAAUGCCCGCUGCCCUGGCUGGGUCUGCACUGACAUGGCAGGCCCCUAGUCCACCAAGAGCCCUAAGGAGCUCUUAGGCACUUCUUUCUGAGUGGGCCAAGGAGCCACAUGGACAGUUGGUGUGGGAAAAGACCAUUCAGGAAUGGUAGAUGGGAGACAGCAGGAAGUUUACCUUAUCUCAGAAACUUGAGGUAAAUUGCGGGGCCCCCCACCAAAAAAAAUACAAUAAUAAAAAAUAUAUAUUUUUAGAGGAACUCAGUCCGGCUUUAAACUUACUCUUGAAUGUUUGAAUAGUAGAGUGCACAAGGUUCAUUUUCGAAACUGUAUCAUCAGUUCCUCUUGUCAUGUCAGUCAUUGCAUACCUUAAAGAGCUAUUUAUAACUUGUCAGAAAUGUCCAGAUCAAGUUUUCACCAGGUUUUUAGCCCAUAGAUAUUGUUGUAAUUUUUUGGUCACUCAAAUAUUACAUGAACACACAUUAGACAUGGCAAAAUGUUAUUUUCACCCCAUGACAAAAUGUGUAGAAUUGCAAUAAAUAAGCUUUAAACUUGCAAACACGUUCUCCACCAACAAGAGGGGUGUGAACAGUGUGUCAUGAACAGUGCUUGUGCCCGCAGAAAUAGACGAGUCACCCACGGGGGGGGGGGGGGGGUCUUCCCCAAUGCUGGGAACCCCUGAUCUCCAUGAAGGCAGCUGCCACUUCAUUAAAGCUAAUUAGAUGCCAUUUACCACAGCACACUGCAUUUUUUCCCCACAGGUGACAGUUUUUGCACUCUCUAUCAGAAACUAGACUGGCCUUCUUUGACGUCGCAUAUUUAAAAAAAAAAAAAAAAUCAUUCUGUUUUGCAAAAACUCCCGCAUUACCUAUUGCCAUUACUAACCUUUAGAUGUACGAGAUAACAUACCAGGUCACAAGGGCUGCCGAACUUUGAAAUUCCAUCUGUCACUACAGAUUUAAGUAAAACAGCUUUUAGUUUCUUCGCAUCCCACUUAUGUAACAAUCUACAGAAUACCCUACAGUUGGAUGCAUUGGUGCCUUUCGUACAGUUCAGAGAGUUGGUAGAGGACGUCUUCGCUGAAGAAUGUAGAUGCUUUUUU